CUUAAGGUGCGGAGCCGUAGCGAAAGCGAGUUUUAACUGAGCGUUCAGUUAUUUGACGUAGACCCGAAACCGGGCGACCUACCCAUGAGCAGGAUGAAGCGAAAGUAAAAUUUCGUGGAGGCCCGAACCCACGAGCGUUGAAAAGCUCGGGGAUGACUUGUGGGUAGCGGUGAAAUUCCAAUCGAGCCCGGAGAUAGCUGGUUCUCCCCGAAAUAGCUUUAGGGC
rnacentral:rRNA from 1 species